AGGGAUGAAGCUUCAAUAUAGCAAUUAGCUGUUACCUAAUAGAAAGUGCUCGUUACACCUUCCCUA
rnacentral:tRNA from 1 species